rnacentral:misc_RNA from 1 species
UUCAGCACGAUUAACAUGGAACCUAAGCCUAGUACUGGAGUCUGUGAUCAUCCUUUUUGUUAUUCAGCCACGUUUCUAAUGAAGUACACUUACCAAAACAUUGAGUGCAACUGUGCAACUACUUGUGUUUCGGAGGCGGCAUAUCGUGUUUCAAACGUUUUUCAGUUCCGUUUUUUACCUUACAGCGAGAUGGCCGAAUGGUUUCUGCUAGUUUUACCUGCGGCAAUGUACAUGGUUCCACUGACAGAGAUGAGAUCUAUCUACCCAAACACGAAUAAAGAAAAUAUAACAAAAUAUGAAUUACUACAGUAUUUGCUAAACGAGUCGAGGUAUGAUGCUAGUGUGCCACCAAAUUAUUACUCAGGAAAAGCAACAGACGUUUCAGUACAAAUUUCAAUUAACGAUCUGAGUUCUGAAAACGAACACAGUAUGGAGUUCGACAGUACGUUGUUUAUAAGACUGCAUUGGAGAGAUGUUCGCUUAGAUUACUCUGGUUUAGCAGAUUUUGACGUCCUUAAGGUCAGUGGGUCUUACAUCAGUAGAGUGUGGAUACCUGAUAUAUUCUUUGAUCAUGACCGGAGCGCAGAAUUUCUUGGUUUCAUAGCGAAGAAUGAAUUGAUAUAUAUUGGAAUGAAUGGAAGUAUACAGUUCAGCGGAAGAAUAACGAUGAAAACACGAUGCCACAUGGACUUGGAAUAUUAUCCAUAUGAUACACAUGUUUGCCAAGUAAUACUUCAAAGUUUCACUUACACAGAAGAUGACGUUAUGCUGAACUGGAAGAAGACAGAUCCAGUUCUGAUCCAAAGUGACCAUUUGGAAGAUGUUCCUUCCUGGAGAAACAGUACAAUUCAUAUAGGAACAAUAGGAAAUUUUUCGUCACUUCGUACUGGAAUUCGACUACUGAGGAAAACGUCAUCGUUUAAUGUUCUUUACAUUGGUCCACCAAUAGUGCUUGUUGUAAUUGCAAUGCUUUCGUUUACCUUUGGUGAUAACAUAACCCCUCGGGUAGCAAUUUGUGGCGCUGCUAUGACAACCAUUAUAAUGCACUGGGCCGGAAUAUACAACAAACUUCAGCCAGCUUCAGCGCUGACAAUGCUUGAUGUGUGGAUGCUGGGAAAUCUUUGCUGCAUCGGAUUGAUCAUACUUGUGAAUUCAUGCAUUCAUCACUAUGAACACCCGACUGAAAAAAGAUUUAAGAAAUUAAUGAAACAAACCAUAUCCAAACAACUUCGUGAACAAAUAGACAGUGGCCAACAUCUUAGAUGGGAUAAUGUGAAGCGAUUAGGAAUUGACGGAUACAACCUUGAAGAUGGCAAUAAUUUCAGCUGGACAGUUGAUCCACGUUUCUACGCUGUGCCAGACGAUAAACUUCGUGAAAAAUAUUUUAUGGAGUAUAUAAAGUGUUUGCCUCAUAUCAAAUUAACCUGCUGUUAUGAAGUCAAUGCAAUUUUUGACGCGGAGACAACUUGACGCCGAGACACUUUGACGUAGGAAUUACUGCACACUAGGUAAUCGGAUAUGUUCUUCGCAGAAUGUUACGUUCGGGGCAGGAUUCAUCAAUUCGAUAGAAAUCGUCAGUGGGAUAAGUUUGAUCUUAGACAUAAAAACGAGGAAAGAAAAGGACAUAUUCUGGAAGAAAUGUUUUGAGCACUAUCC